rnacentral:tRNA from 1 species
GCGGGCGUAGCUCAGUCGGUCAGAGUGCCGGCCUGUCACGCCGGAGGUCGCGGGUUCGAGCCCCGUCGCCCGCG